GGAAUAUUGGACAAUGGGGGCAACCCUGAUCCAGCCAUGCCGCGUGUGUGAAGAAGGCCUUCGGGUUGUAAAGCACUUUCAGCAAGGAGGAAGGCAGUACGGUUAAUACCCGUGCUGAUUGACGUUACUUGCAGAAGAAGCACCGGCUAACUCCGUGCCAGCAGCCGCGGUAAUACGGAGGGUGCAAGCGUUAAUCGGAAUAACUGGGCGUAAAGCGCGCGUAGGUGGUUAAGUCAGUCAGAUGUGAAAGCCCCGGGCUCAACCUGGGAACUGCACCUGAUACUGCUUAGCUAGAGUACGGUAGAGGGAAGUGGAAUUUCCGGUGUAGCGGUGAAAUGCGUAGAGAUCGGAAGGAACACCAGUGGCGAAGGCGACUUCCUGGACUGAUACUGACACUGAGGUGCGAAAGCGUGGGGAGCA
rnacentral:rRNA from 1 species